rnacentral:rRNA from 4 species
CCUGGCGGCGAUAGAGCGGUGGUCCCACCUGACCCCAUACCGAACUCAGAAGUGAAACGCCGAUGCGCCGAUGGUAGUGUGGGG